GUCAGGAUGGCAGAGCGGUCUAAGGCGCCAGACUCAAGUUUCCAAACUUGCUCCGCUAAUGCGCAGACAAAGCUAGGGCUUUCUGGUCCUCUAAUGUGGGCAAGGGUUCGAAUCACUUUCCUGACA